UUUUUGAUGAUGUAAUCUUGAGUUGAAAACCUUUCCAUUUUUGGCAAUUUUGAAUUACAAGUCACUUUCUAUUUUUGGAAAGUUUUGUCCUGACUUUAUUUUCUUCAAUGUUGAUGUUUGCAAUGUCAAAUGAGACUUGUUUGAACAUGAAUGAAGUAUUUCUAACCACUUCCCACCUCCAAAUCCAACAGUUGACUUGUGGUUGACUUUUGUUGACUGAUAGAUGACUUGGUCAUGCACAGAU
rnacentral:lncRNA from 1 species